GCAAGUCGAACGAACCCUUCGGGGUGAGUGGCGCACGGGUGCGUAACGCGUGGGAACCUGCCUUUAGGUUUGGAAUAACAGUGAGAAAUCGCUGCUAAUACCAAAUAAUGUCUUCGGACCAAAGAUUUAUCGCCUUUAGAUGGGCCCGCGUUAGAUUAGAUAGUUGGUGGGGUAAUGGCCUACCAAGUCGACGAUCUAUAGCUGGUCUUAGAGGAUGAUC
rnacentral:rRNA from 1 species